GACUUCGGUCUGGUGGCGAGUGGCGAACGGGUGAGUAAUGUAUCGGAACGUGCCCAGUAGCGGGGGAUAACUACGCGAAAGCGUAGCUAAUACCGCAUACGCCCUACGGGGGAAAGCAGGGGAUCGUAAGACCUUGCACUAUUGGAGCGGCCGAUAUCGGAUUAGCUAGUUGGUGGGGUAACGGCUCACCAAGGCGACGAUCCGUAGCUGGUUUGAGAGGACGACCAGCCACACUGGGACUGAGACACGGCCCAGACUCCUACGGGAGGCAGCAGUGGGGAAUUUUGGACAAUGGGGGAAACCCUGAUCCAGCCAUCCCGCGUGUGCGAUGAAGGCCUUCGGGUUGUAAAGCACUUUUGGCAGGAAAGAAACGUCGCGGGUUAAUACCUCGCGAAACUGACGGUACCUGCAGAAUAAGCACCGGCUAACUACGUGCCAGCAGCCGCGGUAAUACGUAGGGUGCAAGCGUUAAUCGGAAUUACUGGGCGUAAAGCGUGCGCAGGCGGUUCGGAAAGAAAGAUGUGAAAUCCCAGAGCUUAACUUUGGAACUGCAUUUUUAACUACCGGGCUAGAGUGUGUCAGAGGGAGGUGGAAUUCCGCGUGUAGCAGUGAAAUGCGUAGAUAUGC
rnacentral:rRNA from 1 species